CUCAACUUUCCUCUCUGAAUCUGGGCAAUAACCUCAUAGAUGUGGUGCCGAACACUUCAUUUCACGGAUUAUCCUCUUUGACAACUUUGUCUUUAAACAGUAACAAAAUAUGCAGGAUAUUGAAGGUUAUCUUCAAAGAUCUGACUUCUUUACAUACACUAGACCUCAGUAAGAAUGAUAUUGCUUUCAUUGAGGAUGGAGCUUUGUCCAAUUUGCCUGUAUGGAAUAGUUUGGAUCUUAACAAUAAUCAGCUGACAGCUCUUCCAGUGGAUGGAGACUUUCAUAAUAAGAGAAUUGA